AAGCUUUGAUGACUCUACUCGGCU
rnacentral:siRNA from 1 species